UUGAUUAAGGGUGUAAGUCUGAAAUGCCUCAAGUUGCUUUCGUACAUUCUCUAGAUAUUGCACCAUCUUCGGAUUUUUUACCGUGUACUCACCAGUAGUCUGGCUGGUGAUUAGCUGGGAAUCAGAAUGAAUUGCAAGCUUUUUCACCGCCAAGUCUUUUUCCAUUUAUAGGCCUGCUAGUAGGGCUUCGUACUCUGCUUCAUUAUUGGAUGCUUUGAAGCCUAGAGUGAUUGCUUGCUCGAGCAUCAAACCAUCUGGGGUGACAAGGAGCACGUUUGGUCCCGAGCCUUUGUAGUUGAAUGAGUCGUAUACGUGCAAAUGCCAGAAGUCUCAUUCGGGUGAAGUAGGUAUGGCUAAGGUGUGCUCGGUUGCCUCUAGGGCGUCGUUGGGUCACUUUGUUGCAACGCCUAGGCUAGGAGUGAAUUCUGCUAUGAAGUUUGCCAAGGCUUGGGCCUUUAUCGCCGUGCGGGGUUGGAAAACUAAGCCGUAUUGGCCAAGUUACAAUGCCCAUUUUAUUGCUCAUUGAGAAGCAUUUGGACUAUGUAGGAUUGAUUGUAAAGGAUAUUGAGUCAUGACGAUGACUGUAUGAGCUUGAAAAUACGGUCUAAGCUUCUGAGCCACAAAAACUAGCGCCAAAAUUAAUUUUUGGAUAUUCAGAUACCUAGUUUCCACAUUGAUAAAAGUUUUAGAAGUGUAAAAUACCAGCAAUUGGGCCCCUAGCUCUUCUCGUGUAAAGGUAAAGCUCACAGCUACUUCUGAAACUGCUAAUUAGAUGUUCAGGCUCAGACACGAGUCGAUUAUAAUAGUCUUCUCUGGUUGUUGGGGAUCAAGAAUGAUAUGCUCGGAUUUUUCUUUGGGUUUCCAUCCUAUCUUGUCAGCUGGCAAGUUGAUUUGGACAUCAUUUUCUUGAUCUGGUUGCUAUAAUUGCUAUUUG
rnacentral:lncRNA from 1 species